rnacentral:rRNA from 1 species
UACGAAGGGGGCUAGCGUUGCUCGGAAUUACUGGGCGUAAAGGGCUCGUAGGUGGCCAACUAAGUCAGACGUGAAAUCCCUCGGCUUAACCGGGGAACUGCGUCUGAUACUGGAUGGCUUGAGUUUGGGAGAGGGACGCGGAAUUCCAGGUGUAGCGGUGAAAUGCGUAGAUAUCUGGAGGAACACCGGUGGCGAAGGCGGCGUCCUGGACCAACACUGACACUGAUGAGCGAAAGCCAGGGGAGCAAACGGG